AGGUGAUGAUAGAACCUAUAAGGAAACUGUCUAUGCCUUUGCCUUCACUGCUGAAUGUCAGCUCCAGACAACUUACUUCUCAGUCAGUGGGUCUCCAUCCCUAUCUGUGGUCUUCUGGACAUCCUUGCAGGAGAUGACAUCUUGGGAACUCUUGGGAGUGAAUGACACCAAUAAAUCCCUGACACGGGACUCUUCAAAGAGCUCACCUGCCUGUUGUCCGAGGGCCACUCUCUGCAGGUGAUGGCCACAAGGUGAGGCAGAUUGGUGACGGGAGCCAUUACUUCUACCAGCACCUUCCCCCAAACAACGAUCUGUCUUGCUUCUGCAUGGAGACUGCUGUGUUUCCUGGCUUGCGGCGGACGCCUCCUGCAGAUAAGAAAUGCUUAACUGAGAAAUGCUCAUGUUGGCAUACCAUCGAUGAGACUUUAAUUUGGGCGUGGUGACUGUUUCCCCAGGAGCCUAAGUAGAGGAAAUAUUAUUGCACAAGCAACUCAAAAUGAUGGAAUUUCUCAGUGCUCCCAUAAAUACAAAUUUAUACUUUUCAUUUGCCAGGUGGUAAAUUUAAAAGCUAGGAUAUAUUAAAAAGAAACUCGACAUGACUUUUUUUCAAAAAUUCAAAGCACACCUAAAUAUACAAUAUAUAAAUUAACUGCCCUCCCUUCUCCCAAUUCGAUCCCCCAGGGUUUUUCUUUGUUAAGGGAGUUGUGUGCAUUUCUUAAGUAGGUGAUGCACGUGCACACACACACACACACACACACACACACACACUAUUUUGGGGGGUUCUGCAAGUGGGGCCAUAUUGUACACAUUCUUCUACAAAUUACCUUUCACCUAACAGCUUUUCAUGCCCUAUUUUCCAUUUCAAUAACACAUCUUUGUCAUUUAUUGAAUGACUGCAGGACUGUUUUGUAUAUUGAAUAUAAUUAAAUGGUUUAAGCUUUUCUCACUCGUAGAUAUUUAUGUUAGCACCAAAUUUCUGUGCAGUGAACCUCCCUACAUAUCAAUAAUUUUGCAUUUGCGCAUUAUAUCAUAAUAAAUUACCUAGCAGUUGAAAUACUGGGAUUAAGAAUAUACACAUUUCAAAUUUUCAAAAUGAUUUCAAGAUUUCCUUAAAAAUGUGGUAACAACUUUAUCCUCAAAUGGCAACAAAUGAGAUUGCCAGCUUUCUGACAACCUCACAGAUAAUGGAUUUUAUAAAUAUUUAAAAUCUUUGCCAAUGUGAUAGCCCAAACUAUUGUCUUAAAUUGUAUUUCUUUUGUUUUUGAGUUUGAUCAUUUUUUCAUGUUUAUUAGCCAUCUGUAUUUUUUAAUUUCCUCUUUAUGUCUAAUUUGGGGGCUGGGGGAGGUUUUAGUCUCUUCCUCAUUUGGAAGAGCCUAUUUAUUACUGGGAAAAUUAGCUUUGGAUUGUCAAGCAUUACGGAUAUUUUUCACACACUUUUAAACUUCAUUUUUGUUAUAAGAAUGUGUAUGAUUGUUCUAUGUCCAAGUAUAACCAUGUUUGCUUCUAUGGCUUCUGAGUUUCAUGUCAUUUUGGAAAGAUUUAUACUGAAUCCAUAAAACCCUUCACCUAUGUUAACUUCUACUUAUUUUGUGUUUUUUUUUUAAUUCAAAUUCUUAAAUCAUGAGAAAUUUUUUUGAUUUUGGAAUCUUGAAGUUGCCAGGUUAUUUGCCAUUACUUGCGAUUUGAUACCAGUAAUUGCCCAUUUAUCUGUAAAGCCAUCUUGCCCUCUGCUGUAUCUCAUCUGUGACUGGCCCCAUUUUUCUGUGGAUUUGUGUGUGUCUCUUUUUCUGCCUCUUGUCUCAUGUGUUUUCUCGUUGGAAGAAAUUACAGUUUAGACUGCAAUUUCAUCAACUCUAAUAAAUUAAUUUCUGGGAGAACUGGUUUUUAAUAAUAUGUCUUCCUUCCCAAGGACAAGGUAUGUCUUUCUUUAUAUUCAAUAAUUUUAAUGAUGGUUAAUAUUUUUACUUUGUGAUGUGAGUGUUUUCUUUCAGUUUAUUUUCUUACUUGAUAUUUUCCUGUAUCUGAAAGUUUCGGGGUUUUUUUAGGGGGAAUGGUAAGUGGUCACCUUACUGUUUCCUGUGACUUUUCAGAGUUUAUCACAAUACAUACUAAGCCUUUUGCUAAUACGGUUCGUUUUGAUUGUCCACUUUCAAAUGACCUGGAUUGUAGUUAUAUUGAUUACGGACUGAUACUUAAACAAUUGUGGAAAUAUUACCCACCCUGGAUUUAAUGAGGUUUUCAUGGAAUGCUGCGUGGGUUUGGCCAGCACCUUGUUGCCGGUCUGUUAUCCAGAAAGACUCCCAGAAAGAGCUGUGAUUAAGCAACGUAGAGAGUGUGAGAGCUACUGCCGUAGGGGAAACACCACCGUGACGGGUUUCAGGGGGUUGCAAAAGCAGGAAGCUGUGGCUUUGGGGUUUGGACUGGCGUGACUUUAGGCAGGCUUUCCAAAGCAGGGAACUGGUUAGGAAGGGACA